UACGGAGGUGGCAAGCGUUGUCCGGAUUUAUUGGGUUUAAAGGGUGCGUAGGCGGCUUUAUAAGUCAGGGGUGAAAUAUCCCGGCUUAACCGGGAGGGUGGCAUUGAUACUGCAGAGCUUGAGUGAAGUCGAGGUAGGCGGAAUUGACGGUGUAGCGGUGAAAUGCUUAGAUAUCGUCAAGAACACCGAUAGUGAAGACAGCUUACUAGACAUCAACUGACGCUGAGGCACGAAAGUGUGGGGAUCAAACAGG
rnacentral:rRNA from 1 species